rnacentral:tRNA from 1 species
UUCUGUGUGGGGUGCCAGCCCCUCCUAAGGGGCAGGUUACAGGUUCAAAUCCUGUCGGGGUCACCA